ACAGGAACGAUGAUCAGACUCUUUGUCGCUCUUUGUGCUCUUUUUUCUCUCUUCACAGCUGUGAAAACUUCUGACAUCAAGGAGAUUGACGUGAUAACAGUAAAGCGUGGAGAAGAUGUAACUAUGAAGUGUAGCAUUAGCAGUGUCA